AUACCCGAUGGUCUCGAUAAUUCGGUUUAUCGAGUAAAGGCUCCGGCGCUUUGAGAGGGACCUGCGGCCCAUCAGCUAGUUGGUAGGGUAAUGGCCUACCAAGGCAAAGACGGGUAGGGGGCGUGAGAGCGUGACCCCCCACACUGGCACUGGGACACGGGCCAGACUCCUACGGGAGGCAGCAGUGAGGAAUAUUGCGCAAUGAGCGAAAGCUAGACGCAGCAACGCCGCGUGGGUGAUGAAGGCCUUCGGGUCGUAAAACCCUUUUCUGGGGGAAGAGUAAGGACGGUACCCCAGGAAUAAGCCUCGGCUAACUAUGUGCCAGCAGCCGCGGUAAUACAUAGGAGGCAAGCGUUAUCCGGAUUUACUGGGCGUAAAGAGCGUUGAGGCGGCUUCGUAAGUUGGACGUGAAAGCUCCCGGCUUAACUGGGAGAGGCCGUUCAAUACUGCGGGGCUUGAGGACAGCAGAGGGGGGUGGAAUUUCCGGUGUAGUGGUGAAAUGCGUAGAUAUCGGAAGAAACACCAGUGGCGAAGGCGGCCCCCUGGGCUGCUCCUGACGCUGAAGGCGAAAGCUAGGGUAGCGAACGGGAUUAGAAACCCCGGUAGUCCUAGCCGUAAACGAUGGAUACUAGGUGUAGGAGGUUAAAAUUCCUUCUGUGCCGGAGCUAACGCGUUAAGUAUCCCGCCUGGGGAGUACGGUCGC
rnacentral:rRNA from 1 species